rnacentral:rRNA from 1 species
AUUGAACGCUGGCGGCAUGCCUUACACAUGCAAGUCGAACGGUAACAGGUCUUCGGAUGCUGACGAGUGGCGAACGGGUGAGUAAUACAUCGGAACGUGCCCGAUCGUGGGGGAUAACGAAGCGAAAGCUUUGCUAAUACCGCAUAAGAUCUACGGAUGAAAGCAGGGGACCGCAAGGCCUUGCGCGACCGGAGCGGCCGAUGGCAGAUUAGGUAGUUGGUGGGAUAAAAGCUUACCAAGCCGACGAUCUGUAGCUGGUCUGAGAGGACGACCAGCCACACUGGGACUGAGACACGGCCCAGACUCCUACGGGAGGCAGCAGUGGGGAAUUUUGGACAAUGGGCGAAAGCCUGAUCCAGCCAUGCCGCGUGCAGGAUGAAGGCCUUCGGGUUGUAAACUGCUUUUGUACGGAACGAAAAGACUCUGGUUAAUACCUGGGGUCCAUGACGGUACCGUAAGAAUAAGCACCGGCUAACUACGUG